rnacentral:rRNA from 1 species
UCCUUCCGGCUCACCACCGUCUACGGCCCAGCCGAAGACGCGUGCAAAGACACCUUCCUUGCUGAGCUAGCUAGAACUGCGCCGCCUCCCUCUGAACCUUGGCUCAUCAACGGAGACUUCAACCUCAUCUAUGAGGCGCGAGACAAGAACAAUCAAAACCUUAAUAGAAGGCUUAUGGGCCGCUUUAGAACGGCGAUUGACGGUGCUGGUCUGCACCAGAUCAAGUGUAGCAAUCACCGAUUCACUUGGAGUAAUGAGAGGGAUAAUCCCACGUUAGCCAGCAUAGAUAAAUUCUUCUGCUCCUCGCCCUGGGAAGCUCUGUUCCCGCGCGCGCUUAUCAUGGCGGUGUCGACUGCGUGCUCUGACCACUGCCCAAUGCUGCUAGCGGACGCGUCGGCGCCUCGUCGGUGA